GACGAACGCUGGCGGCGUGCUUAACACAUGCAAGUCGAACGGAAAGGCCCUGCUUUUGUGGGGUGCUCGAGUGGCGAACGGGUGAGUAACACGUGAGUAACCUGCCCUAGACUUUGGGAUAACUUCAGGAAACUGGGGCUAAUACCGGAUAGGAGCUCCUGCUGCAUGGUGGGGGUUGGAAAGUUUCGGCGGUUGGGGAUGGACUCGCGGCUUAUCAGCUUGUUGGUGGGGUAGUGGCUUACCAAGGCUUUGACGGGUAGCCGGCCUGAGAGGGUGACCGGCCACAUUGGGACUGAGAUACGGCCCAGACUCCUACGGGAGGCAGCAGUGGGGAAUAUUGCACAAUGGGCGGAAGCCUGAUGCAGCAACGCCGCGUGCGGGAUGACGGCCUUCGGGUUGUAAACCGCUUUCGCCUGUGACGAAGCGUGAGUGACGGUAAUGGGUAAAGAAGCACCGGCUAACUACGUG
rnacentral:rRNA from 1 species